ACGAUAAGAAGGAGGACGAAAAGAAGGAGUAACUUCUGGAUAUCAACCGUUUCUACUCAUAUUCGCCAUCUCACUCGUAAUCACUUCGUAAAAAUGAAACUUGUUUACAUUUGAAUUUUGUGAUUUGAUUAAUCACUGUAUUGUUGUUCCAUGUAUAAGUGCCAAUUUUCUAUAAUGUUUUGGCUUUAUUUUAGUAAAACUGAAACCUG
ensembl:lincRNA linc-80 ncRNA